AGUCGAGCGCCCCGCAAGGGGAGCGGCAGACGGGUGAGUAACGCGUGGGAAUCUACCCAGCUCUACGGAAUAACCCAGGGAAACUUGGACUAAUACCGUAUACGUCCUUCGGGAGAAAGAUUUAUCGGAGUUGGAUGAGCCCGCGUCGGAUUAGCUAGUUGGUGAGGUAAUGGCUCACCAAGGCGACGAUCCGUAGCUGGUCUGAGAGGAUGAUCAGCCACACUGGGACUGAGACACGGCCCAGACUCCUACGGGAGGCAGCAGUGGGGAAUAUUGGACAAUGGGCGAAAGCCUGAUCCAGCCAUGCCGCGUGAGUGAUGAAGGCCCUAGGGUUGUAAAGCUCUUUCACCGGGGAAGAUAAUGACGGUACCCGGAGAAGAAGCCCCGGCUAACUUCGUGCCAGCAGCCGCGGUAAUACGAAGGGGGCUAGCGUUGUUCGGAAUUACUGGGCGUAAAGCGCACGUAGGCGGAUAUUUAAGUUAGGGGUGAAAUCCCAGGGCUCAACCCUGGAACUGCCUCUAAUACUGGGUAUCUAGAGUCCGAGAGAGGUGAGUGGAAUUCCGAGUGUAGAGGUGAAAUUCG
rnacentral:rRNA from 1 species